AUUGAACGCUGGCGGCAGGCCUAACACAUGCAAGUCGAGCGGAUGAAGGGAGCUUGCUCCUGGAUUCAGCGGCGGACGGGUGAGUAAUGCCUAGGAAUCUGCCUGGUAGUGGGGGAUAACGUCCGGAAACGGGCGCUAAUACCGCAUACGUCCUGAGUGAGAAAGUGGGGGAGCUUCGGACCUCACGCUAUCAGAUGAGCCUAGGUCGGAUUAGCUAGUUGGUGGGGUAAAGGCCUACCAAGGCGACGAUCCGUAACUGGUCUGAGAGGAUGAUCAGUCACACUGGAACUGAGACACGGUCCAGACUCCUACGGGAGGCAGCAGUGGGGAAUAUUGGACAAUGGGCGAAAGCCUGAUCCAGCCAUGCCGCGUGUGUGAAGAAGGUCUUCGGAUUGUAAAGCACUUUAAGUUGGGAGGAAGGGCAGUAAGUUAAUACCUUGCUGUUUUGACGUUACCAACAGAAUAAGCACCGGCUAACUUCGUG
rnacentral:rRNA from 1 species